rnacentral:rRNA from 1 species
UGAGGAAUAUUGGUCAAUGGGCGCAGGCCUGAACCAGCCAAGUAGCGUGAAGGAUGACUGCCCUAUGGGUUGUAAACUUCUUUUAUAUGGGAAUAAAGUUUUCCACGUGUGGAAUUUUGUAUGUACCAUAUGAAUAAGGAUCGGCUAACUCCGUGCCAGCAGCCGCGGUAAUACGGAGGAUCCGAGCGUUAUCCGGAUUUAUUGGGUUUAAAGGGAGCGUAGGUGGACAGUUAAGUCAGUUGUGAAAGUUUGCGGCUCAACCGUAAAAUUGCAGUUGAUACUGGCUGUCUUGAGUACAGUAGAGGUGGGCGGAAUUCGUGGUGUAGCGGUGAAAUGCUUAGAUAUCACGAAGAACUCCGAUUGCGAAGGCAGCUCACUGGACUGCAACUGACACUGAUGCUCGAAAGUGUGGGGUAUCAAACAGGAUUAGAUACC